CUGUUGUAUAUUUAACCUCCACACCAUAUUUCAUGCAAUAAGAAUGCAUAUCAGCUCUUGAGCAGCCAGAUUUGGAAAUCAUGGCUCUCCAGUCAUGGGAAAAGGACAGCGUAAGGAACAGCAGCAUACAUGCAUUUUCCUUCACUGCUGUCACAAAGAUUUUUACUUCAGGACCUGGCAGAGCUUUACUUGCUGCAUUUAUCAUGGUGAGCUCAAUUCCUGGUCACAGAGUCAGGUCAUACACAGAAAUCCACGUACUGUCAAUGGAAGUUCAGCACCAGAUUAAGGACAAGAGACUCUUCAAUUAAGAUGAAAUGAGUGGGCGACUUCAACUCAUCAUGGUUUCUGCAGGUGGAAACAGAAGAUGUGAUCCUUGAGGUAUCCUGGUGAAUUCUGUAAAUGGCAAAGAAAAUGGAUGGCCUCUCUACCUAUUUAUACAUGACUGUUUGCCAUUCACUCUUCUCUUAUCCCUGCAGAGUACCUCCCCUCCCUACAGUUUUGGACCACUGAAUUUUUGAUGCUGCUCAUUUCCCCUCCAGCAGAUAUAAACUAAUCUAAUCCUGGGAGUAUAUAGCUUCUUUUUUAUUUUACUUUUUGCCAGGAAUAAUAACCUUGACUUUUUCAUUUUUCUCAUCGCAUCUAAUAUUGAUUGGAAUUGCAAAAGUAAAUGAAGUUGUUGCACAGUUAAAACAGAAUUGCACCAGGCUGUAACUAAUAAUAGCUCAGAACCAAAGUAAGUUACAAUGAAUUACUUUGAUGGGUGGCGUGAAGGAAAUGCACAGUGUAUAGGGGUGUGAAACUUCAUUUAACCUUUCUCUAAUUAGAUAAUGAUAGUAGGAAAAAGUGAAAGAAAUAUGUUAAAAAGAGUUCUAUGAGGUUUCAGAAUUUCAGUGUCAAUAUCUUCAGUGUCCACACAGAUGAUCCAGAGGGAUCUAAUUUUCUUUCACCGAGUUGAUAAUAGGGUUGUUGCUAUGGUAUUGUUAUUUGAAUUUGCUCGCUUGUGCUUCUCUGAAGCUGUGGAAUUGGCUUAUCCCUGCUGUUUGAACAAAUAUUGGGCCAUCAUGCUGCAAAGAAAAGCAAAAUGCUGUAACUGUAAACAGUUUAGUUGACAUUUUUGUCUCCAGUAAAAUUUUUUUCUCCUUACACUAAUCUAAAUAUAGUAUAUCCAU
rnacentral:lncRNA from 1 species